rnacentral:snRNA from 1 species
GGCGUUCGAAUUGUAGUCUGG